GGGGGGGAGGGGCGGCGUUUGAGGUGGAUGGGGCGAGACAGUGGCGUGUUUUACAUAUUUGAUUGCACCAUCAGAGUCCUGCUAAAAUAGAAGUUAAUGGACAGAAAGGGAAAAGCACUCUUGACAGUUCAAGUCUCCCAAAGAAUGGUGGUUGUGAUUAUCGGAUGACAGUCAAGCCUGCUCCACGACGACACUGUGGGAAUUCCUCAGGACAAAAAAGGCCUAAACGUUGUCUGCAGUUCUAUCGCUAACCUUCAGAUGGGAUGUUCAAUCACGAUUGCGUAGCAUUCAAUUCCGGUUACAAUUUCUGAACAAAUGGUGCCUGCAUUCAGCAAGUCCUGGUCAAUGCUCAGGGUUCUUUUGAAGACCCUGACCUGGAGUUACAUGCUGACUUCGGUUCUUUGCAGGAAUGGGACCCAUUCUUGGGGUUUCAGGACUGGCCAUUGUUCGGCACGCCAAGGGUUCGGCCAGAGAGCCUGGCUCGAAUUCGGAUGCCUAAGAUCUUGAGGCUCUGGAGAUGGCAGAUCGAGAGUUGGUGUCACGACAGGAGACCCGUGUGUUGUCGGGGGAGUCAGGAUAUCUGCUGUGGGCCCUAGGACCUGGGAUCUUUGCAAUCUUCAGGCAUAGAGCUCGAAAAAAGCAACGUAAUGGACUUUUUAACAUUGUAAACCAGCAACUUGUUUAUUAUGUCUCCCUGCUCACUGGGAAAAUGGAGACACCUUUUUCUCCCUAUUAGGGAGAGAGAGAAUCUGCAGUAUGUCGAAUGCCGGGUGCAAAGACUUUGGGGUAACUGCAAGUCUAUGUCUUUGCUAUUGCUUUGCUCACGCUUGAGUUCUUGGUGAUGGUGCCCUUGC